UGUUCCUUAAAUAGGGACUCGUAUCAACGGCAUCACGAGGGUUAUACUGUCUCCCCCAUCUAAUCAGUGAAACUGACCUCCCCGUGAAGAGGCGGGGAAUACAACUACAAGACGAGAAGACCCCAUGGAGCUUUAAACCCACUGACAACCUCUAUCCAAAUACUCCCACACAGAUAUAAAGUAAUGUUCAUUGGUUUUAGGUUGGGGUGACCACGGAGCAAAACUAAACCUCCAUGACGAACGGAAAUUCAUCCUAAUCCAAGAGCUACCACUCUAAGAAUCAAAAAUUUGACAUAAUCUGAUCCGGUAACCGAUCAACGAACCAAGUUACCCUGGGGAUAACAGCGCAAUCCAUUUCAAGAGCCCCUAUCGACAAAUGGGUUUACGACCUCGAUGUUGGAUCAGGGUAUCCCAGUGGUGCAGCCGCUACUAAAGGUUUGUUUGUUCAACAAUUAAAAC
rnacentral:rRNA from 1 species